UAUGGUAAUUCCAGCAGCCGCGGUAAUACGUAGGGGGCAAGCGUUAUCCGGAAUUACUGGGUGUAAAGGGUGCGUAGGUGGUAUGGCAAGUCAGAAGUGAAAACCCAGGGCUUAACUCUGGGACUGCUUUUGAAACUGUCAGACUGGAGUGCAGGAGAGGUAAGCGGAAUUCCUAGUGUAGCGGUGAAAUGCGUAGAUAUUAGGAGGAACAUCAGUGGCGAAGGCGGCUUACUGGACUGAAACUGACACUGAGGCACGAAAGCGUGGGGAGCAAACAGG
rnacentral:rRNA from 1 species